AUAACAAACCUUAUAACCACUCAUGUUUAAGGUUAGUAUUUAUUACAUUUUAGUAUACCAUAUUUUAAAAUAUGUACCAAAAUUAAAUUUUAAGGUUUAAUUACCAAUCAUUUAUUAGGGGCUUUAUUUGUGGAAGAAAAUAAUAUUUUCAUAUUUUCUUUCCCCGUUUUUUUCUCUUUCUUCCACCAGAUUUUUAACAUUAUUAAUUAACCCCACGUUUUUUUUGUUAAUUUUUAUAUU
rnacentral:lncRNA from 1 species